rnacentral:rRNA from 1 species
AUCUAUGGCCAUGACACCCUGAAAAAGCCCUAUCCCAGCUGAUCUCGGAAGUUAAGCAGGGUCGGGCCUGGUUAGUACUUAGAUGGGAGACCGUCUAGGAAGACCAGGUGCUGUAAGCA